AUUGAACGCUGGCGGCAGGCCUAACACAUGCAAGUCGAGCGGAUGAAGGGAGCUUGCUCCUGGAUUCAGCGGCGGACGGGUGAGUAAUGCCUAGGAAUCUGCCUGGUAGUGGGGGAUAACGUCCGGAAACGGGCGCUAAUACCGCAUCCGUCCUGAGGGAGAAAGUGGGGGAUCUUCGGACCUCACGCUAUCAGAUGAGCCUAGGUCGGAUUAGCUAGUUGGUGGGGUAAAGGCCUACCAAGGCGACGAUCCGUAACUGGUCUGAGAGGAUGAUCAGUCACACUGGAACUGAGACACGGUCCAGACUCCUACGGGAGGCAGCAGUGGGGAAUAUUGGACAAUGGGCGAAAGCCUGAUCCAGCCAUGCCGCGUGUGUGAAGAAGGUCUUCGGAUUGUAAAGCACUGUUAGUUGGGAGGAAGGGAAGUAAGUGAAUACCUGGCUGUUUUGACGGUACCAAAAGAAUAAGCACCGGCUAACUUCGUG
rnacentral:rRNA from 1 species